AACAAUUCUAACUAGAGGAAGUUCCAAAAAAGCCAACUUAUUAUUGCUGCAUUUAUGAUCAUAACAAAAAGGUAUUAAAUGUGUUCACACUUUGACAAACUCUAAAGCAGAACACCGACUUGGAUAAUUGGACACUUCAAAAAAGGACAACAGUAGUCUCAAAAAACCCAAAAUUAAUGGAACACCACGGAAACCAAAUCUUAC